rnacentral:lncRNA from 1 species
UCGAUUAAAAUUUGUCUUAAUAUCGAUUGGAUUUAUUGAUAGUUCCUUAUUUUCGUGAGUCUCGGGCUCAAUGGCUUCAUGAUUCUCAGAAUUUAUUAAAUCGUGAUUUUUCUCAUGAGAUUCUUUCGUAGUGUCAUUUUAAUCAUUUGUUUUCCUUUUUCUAGGAUUUCGGUCUUUGGAACCUAAUGGUCUGCCACGUUUUAGGCGUGCUUU